GGCUGUCGUCAGCUCGUGUCGUGAGAUGUUGGGUUAAGUCCCGCAACGAGCGCAACCCUCGCCUUCAGUUGCCAGCGGGUUGGGCCGGGCACUCUGAAGGAACUGCCGGUGACAAGCCGGAGGAAGGUGGGGAUGACGUCAAGUCCUCAUGGCCCUUAUGUCCUGGGCGACACACGUGCUACAAUGGCGGUGACAAUGGGAAGCGAGGCAGCGAUGCCGAGCGGAUCCCGAAAAGCCGUCUCAGUUCAGAUUGCACUCUGCAACUCGGGUGCAUGAAGCGAAUCGCUAGA
rnacentral:rRNA from 1 species